UAGGGAAUCUUCGGCAAUGGGGGGAACCCUGACCGAGCAACGCCGCGUGAGUGAAGAAGGUUUUCGGAUCGUAAAGCUCUGUUGUUAAGGAAGAACGAGUGUGAGAAUGGAAAGUUCAUACUGUGACGGUACUUAACCAGAAAGGGACGGCUAACUACGUGCCAGCAGCCGCGGUAAUACGUAGGUCCCGAGCGUUGUCCGGAUUAAUUGGGCGUAAAGCGAGCGCAGGCGGUUAGAUAAGUCUGAAGUUAAAGGCAGUGGCUCAACCAUUGUAGGCUUUGGAAACUGUUUAACUUGAGUGCAGAAGGGGAGAGUGGAAUUCCAUGUGUAGCGGUGAAAUGCGUAGAUAUAUGGAGGAACACCGGUGGCGAAAGCGGCUCUCUGGUCUGUAACUGACGCUGAGGCUCGAAAGCGUGGGGAGCGAACAGG
rnacentral:rRNA from 1 species